AAAAAAGUUACUUGCCUGAUGGUUCAAAUAAAUAUUGUAGUAUUUUAUUGUUAGCUAAUAAUGAUUUUAGCACGUUUUGCAUCCCAAACAAAUCAGUGAAAUCAAUUGGUUUAUAUGUGUAAAAAUUUAGGAAUGUUGGAAAUGGGUUUAUUACAUCAAUGGGACAGAAACUCAAAGGCAAAUCAACUAAAUGAAAUGACACGUAAAGGACAAGUUUGCAGCA
rnacentral:lncRNA from 1 species